GAUUAAAUAAAAUCUUAUGUGGAAGAGGAACGGCGAAGAUGGAGGUUAAGGCAGCGACGACUAUGGAGCUAUCAACGAACCAAACAACGUUCUACCGAAACUAUCAAUAAAGCAACAACAAUGAGAAUACAAUUAUUAUUCAGUCCAUUAUAUUUUGCUACAACAACAACGACAAUCCCGAGCCAUGGGUGCAAGGUUGACUUAUCUAAUCGGAGAAAGGCGGGGUAGGGCUUCGUCGACGGUGGUAGACGAGGCGAGAG
rnacentral:lncRNA from 1 species